CGGGGAUGAGGCGUCAGAGUCGACGACGGGCAGGGAGAGCGCGAGGAAGUCGCGGUCGACGUCCCCGGCGCCGUCGUCGUAGGUGCGGAGCAGCCCCGGCAGGGAGAGGCCCCUGCCGUCGGGGAGGAUGAACUCGGCGUAGGUGCGGAACACCUCGUCGAGGAUGGCAGAGAUCUGGUCCUCGCUGAACUUGACCCGCGGGUUGACGGCGACGACGAGCGCGGCCAUCUCGUUGCGGUCCAGCCCGCCGUCCCCGUUGGUGU
rnacentral:lncRNA from 1 species